CUCCACAGACAUACCACCCUGAAUACCUCUGAUCUCAUGUGUUCUCAGAAGCUAAGAAAUGUUGGGCCUGCUUAGGAUUUGGUUGGGAGACCAUCUGGGAAUACUGGGUGCUAUGAAAA
rnacentral:rRNA from 1 species